GAUGAACGCUGGCGGCGUGCCUAAUACAUGCAAGUCGAGCGAACGGACGCGAAGCUUGCUUCUCUGAUGUUAGCGGCGGACGGGUGAGUAACACGUGGAUACCCUCCCUAUAAGACUGGGAUAACUUCGGGAAACCGGCGAUAAUACCGGAUAAUCUUUUGCACCGCAUGGUUCAAAAGUGAAUGACGGUCUUGCUGUCACUUAUAGAUGGAUCCGCGCUGCAUUAGCUAGUUGGUAAGGUAACGGCUUACCAAGGCAACGAGGCAUAGCCGACCUGACAGGGUGAUAGGCCACACUGGAGCGGAGACACGGUCCAGAGGCCUACGAGAGGCAGCAGAAGGGAAUCUGCCGCAAUAGGCGAGAGCCUUGCGGAGCGACGCCGCGUGAGUGAUAAAAGUCCCGGGAGCGGAAAACUCUGUUAUGAGGUAAGAACAUAUGUGGAAGGAACUGUACACAUCGUGACGGUACCGAAUCAGAAAGCCACGGCUAACUACGUG
rnacentral:rRNA from 1 species